rnacentral:rRNA from 1 species
CCUACGGGUGGCAGCAGUCGAGAAUCAUUCACAAUGGGGGAAACCCUGAUGGUGCGACGCCGCGUGGGGGAAUGAAGGUCUUCGGAUUGUAAACCCCUGUCAUGUGGGAGCAAAUUAAAAAGAUAGUACCACAAGAGGAAGAGACGGCUAACUCUGUCCCAGCAGCCGCGGGAAUACAGAGGUCUCAAGCGUUGUUCGGAAGCACUGGGCGUAAAGCGUGCGUAGGCUGUUUCGUAAGUCGUGUGUGAAAGGCGCGGGCUCAACCCGCGGACGGCAGAUGAUACUGCGAGACUAGAGUAAUGGAGGGGGAACCGGAAUGCUCGGUGUAGCAGUGAAAUGCGUAGAUAUCGAGAGGAACACUCGUGGCGAAGGCGGGUUCCUGGACAUUAACUGACGCUGAGGCACGAAGGCCAGGGGAGCGAAAGGGAUUAGAUACCCCAGUAGUC